rnacentral:misc_RNA from 1 species
AACGCACAUUGCGCUCUCUGGUAUUCCGGGGGGCAUGCCUGUCCGAGCGUCAUUGCACACCCCUCAAGCCCGGCUUGUGUGUUGGGACCCGUGGCCGCUCUCCCUCCCCGGGGGAUGGCCGCGGGCCUGGAAUGCAGUGGCGGCGUCGUGAUCUCGGUGCCCUGAGUGUAUGGGAAAUCCAAAACUUCUCCGGUUCACGCUCAAGAGGGUCCGACGCGAAUCGCCCCGAAAUCGAGAGUCUCUCUCUCCUCAGGUUUGACCUCGGAUCAGGUAGGAGUACCCGCUGAACUUAA